AGGUAUCUCAAAAAUUUAAUAUCAGCAUAUUAUGGAUCAUCUGAGCGACCAGAUCAUAACUGAAUACUGCCAAGAAUUUCUAUGCUUCUGUUUACAUUUGUGUUUUUUAUUCAUUAAUAUCUAGCAACACCACUGUCAUUAUCAUGGGCUAAUAAGAAAAGAGCACAGAUAUUUUCACACCAAACGAAGGCCAAGCAAUGACCUGGUCCUGCUGUCAAAAGCUUUCCCAGGGGAUUGAAGGGAUAAAUAAGAGGGAAUUGAGUCAUCACAAGGCAUGCAGUGGCACAGCCGAGCUGAACUCCAGAAUACCCAAAAUAUAGCAGUCAGUGCUGCGUUCCUGUCACAGCUUAGCUUCAGGAAAAUAGCACCUGUUAAAUCUUAUAUUCAUGUACUUUGGCUGUGAGAGCAGCGGCAAUGUAUAUUGACUGAAACUCAAAUAGGUCAUUCCUACAUACUUGAAAACCUUCUGCUUCUGAUCAGUGGAUAUCGCCCUGAGAACUGGAUCCCCACCCAGACUGGCUCCUUGUAAAUGGAAAUAAAAUUUCUGGAAAUAAAAUCGCAUGUGAUCACAACCCCAAAGGAUGCU